rnacentral:lncRNA from 1 species
CACAUACUUUGCUGAGUGAUUAUCGUUGACUUCAGUGGGAUAAUCUGCAUGCUUCAGGUCAAGUUCUUAUCAAGUACAUCAUCAGUGACCUGCAAAAUGACAAGAAAGCUGUCCUCAGUUACCUGUCUUAUACCAAACC